UGGGGAACGCUGAGCCCUCCAGGGGAGGGGACUUUCUACAGUGCUGCAGGGAUGGGAGGAGACCAGGUCUGUGGUUGUUUGCUGGGCGAAAGCUGUUUUCACUUUUGGUUCCUUCUGGUGUGUGUCUGGGUGGGGAGUAGGGGACUGGGAGCCCGACUUUUGCCCCCAGCAGGGCAGAGUCCCCAGAAGCUGCGUCAAGGUUUAGAGAUACUUUAUACUCUACUGUUUCACGGGCGAACUUUGAUGUUCAAGUCAGUUUGCAGAUGAGUGGUAGGCCUGCCGAGGUUGGCCAGACGUGCAGACAGCGAGGCCGCAGUGGCUCCCGGUGCCAGGCCUGGGCAGGGCUGUGUUUCUGGGCUAAGGCUGGUGUGAGCGCCGUCAGGCCCAGCUGGCUGGUUCUGGUGUGUCGGGCCCCGGGGGCGCGUGGGUGGGCUUUCGCUGCCGGGUGCCGGGCCGACCCAGCCAGCUGCGGCAGUCGCUGGUCUGGGCGUCAGAGCAGUUGGUUGUUGUCCUUUACUGGGAGCUUGAAGCCCCGGCUAUGACAGCGCCAGGGCCAGACUCUUCGAGGCCCCAGCCUGGGCAGGCAGGAAGCAAGACUGACUCUGGGUCCGGCAGCUUGAGGGCAGUUGCUGUUUUUCUUCCUCUGAUUUUGCCUGGAGUUUGGGGUUCUGCUGGUCCCCCAGCCUCCCCCCACCCACGCCGUGCCUCUCGGAGGGAGAGAGGGAGGACCCUCCGAGUCUACCUCACCCCUUCGGUCUCUGCCCUGUGACCACGCCCCAAGCCCAGGUGUGCCUCACUGGCCCGGUAUCUGGCGUGGCCUCAGUGAGGGGGAGACUGAGGUUAAGAGGAGAGGGUCCUGGGGGACAGCAGCCUAGACCUCCUGACCCCAGGCAGCAGGCCAGCCCCCUCCUCUGACUCCCUGCACGCUCCCCAGGCCAAGCCCUGAACUGGGUGCCAAGGACAGGCUGGUGAACAGGAGAUGUGGGCCCGCUCCACCUCGGCCCCCACCCCUCAAAGGGCUCACCUCCCAGCAGAAAAUCUCUGGCUUGAGGGGUGGGCGGGCAAGGGCCACCAUCUAAGUGUUGAGGCUUUUACCUUCACAGCAGCCAGAUGACCCCCCGGGGCUCCAAGAUGCUGAGCCACUUCCCUGGGCUCGCGGCCUGCAAGCGGCAGACCCAGGUUUGGCCCAGGCCUGUGGCCUCGGUCUCCCGUGGGCUCCCAACUCCCCUAAGCCCCCUGCCCCUGACCUGGACCUUCGUGCCCAGCCCCGUGAGAUGAACUCAGGAACUGCCCCCUUGCCCGCCGGAAAGAUAAAUUAGACGGCAUGUUCAGAGCGCGUAGACGAGCCGUGCCCCAGGCCGUGGGUGGGCUGGGUCCGGCACUUGGCCUGUGAGGUCUUUGUUUCCUAGUUUAAGGAUAUGGAAGAAUCAACUUUGGGGUGCCUCCUAAGGUGUGUGCGUGCUCACCUCCCCGAGGCCACACGGGCCUACACAGAUCUGAGUGUGGGACACACCCAGGGAGUGUUUGCCGAGUGGGGCGUGGAGGUCGGGGGCGGUUCACACCAGCCCCUCCGGCUCUCCACUCUCUCCCUCGAGCAGAUCCCAGAGGGCUCCUCUGACUUGCCACAGGGUUCCUGCCUGUCACUCAGGGAGGGGGGCCCCACUGCUCGCCCGGUGGCUGGUCCUGGCAUGGCCAGGCUCGCUGUGAAAACCCCAAGAUCCUCCGAGACCUGAGACAAGAGCCCAGUCCACGUGGCUGGUCACCCAGACUUGCCCCCACGCCGGUGCCUCCCUCUCUCGUGCGUGAGCUGAACUGACGCCCCAGGAGGGGCCUCUCCAGGGAGAACGUAUCCAUUUUUCAAAUAACUACAAACGUCCUAGAAGCUUGCCGCCGAGAGCAUAGGAGGGGGACAGUAGCAAACGUGCCUCCGCCCCCAACAGGAACCCAGCAGGAACCCGUGUCGUUUUUACCCCCUGCCUCCCGCGUGCAUCCUCGGACUUACGCUGUGGGAGUAGGGUCACACCUUUGACCCGAGGCUUCCGUCAGUGUAGACGAGCAGGGAGGAUCGAGGUGGUUCCACUGACCCCGAUGCGCCUGUGCCUAUGGCCAGGUGGAUUCCACGCGCCACUCAGCCAGGCCUGGCCCAUGAACAUCGGAGCCAGGCGGCCAAGGUCAGCGGACGGCAGGCCUGUUAGCCCACAGCCAGCUCUGGCACCAGCUCUGGAAAGCGGCCAGUGCCCCUAGGGCCCGGUGUCCUCCGCUGCUCACCGACCUGGGUGUCCCUUCCUACACAGCCCCGCCUCACAGGCUCUGGUCCCUGUCACAACUUGCCCUGAGCAGCGAGGGACACUGGCCCAUUGUCAGGCUAAGUGUCCUCACGCUCCUCUUCCAAAAGCGUCCAGAGGCCCGUUUGAAAUGGGUUUGUCUUUGCUGCUCUCCAAUCUGCAGUUUUUACUUUCCAAAGCACGUCCCCAUGUGAGCUGGCCACCCCCCUCCACCCACC